GGUCGAGUGGUGUAGUGGUUAUCACGUCAGUCUCACAAGUUUACUUGACUCCAGAAGCCAAGGACGAGUGCUCCACUGAAGGUCCCCAGUUCGAUCCUGGGCUCGAUCA